UACAGAGGGGGCAAGCGUUGUUCGGAAUUACUGGGCGUAAAGGGCGCGUAGGCGGCCUUCUAAGUCGAACGUGAAAUCCCCGGGCUCAACCCGGGAACUGCGUCCGAGACUGAAAGGCUCGAAUCCGGGAGAGGGAUGUGGAAUUCCAGGUGUAGCGGUGAAAUGCGUAGAUAUCUGGAGGAACACCGGUGGCGAAGGCGGCGUUCUGGACUGCAACUGACACUGAGAGACGAAAGCCAGGGGAGCAAACGGG
rnacentral:rRNA from 1 species